rnacentral:tRNA from 1 species
GUUUUAAUAGUUUAACUAAAACGUUGGUCUUGUAAAUCAAUAAUGAGAAUUUUCUCUUAAAACU